rnacentral:rRNA from 1 species
UCCUGGCUCAGAUUGAACGCUGGCGGAAUGCUUUACACAUGCAAGUCGAGCGGCAGCGCGGGGGCAACCCUGGCGGCGAGCGGCGAACGGGUGAGUAAUAUAUCGGAACGUACCCCGUCGUGGGGGAUAACACAGCGAAAGCUGUGCUAAUACCGCAUACGACCUGAGGGUGAAAGCGGGGGAUCGCAAGACCUCGCGCGAUGGGAGCGGCCGAUAUCGGAUUAGCUUGUUGGUGAGGUAAAGGCUCACCAAGGCGACGAUCCGUAGCUGGUCUGAGAGGACGACCAGCCACACUGGAACUGAGACACGGUCCAGACUCCUACGGGAGGCAGCAGUGGGGAAUUUUGGACAAUGGGGGCAACCCUGAUCCAGCCAUUCCGCGUGAGUGAAGAAGGCCUCGGUU